CCCAUUUAAAAAAAAAACAAACAUGAGUCAUGCCACAAUUAAAAAAUAGGUAGGUCCCACCACAAAAUACUUAUAACUUGGUAGUAAGCUUAUGGUUUAGUCGUAGCUAUUUACUACUUUCACAAUGUAUCUUACUUAGUAGUAAGAAUAUUUUAAUGUCUAAUACUCACCUUUUUCACUACAUUGUGAAUGUCCUAAUGACUAGGCUGCCGUGUCAGUCAAUUUGACACCAAUAAAAACCGUUUCCCAAACUAUUGAAGGAGUCAAUUUGCAUUAGUCCCUUUAAGUGGGGGAAGAGGUUUGGUUAAUAACCGAUUUUGCCAUUGAGUGAUGAGAUUCGAGCAAUGGCAAGAGUUGAAGGAGUCAAAAUAGACUUAUUCAAUAUUAGGCCUCUACACGAUGGGCCUUCACAACGCCACCCCUACGCCGACGCCGACGCCGACGCCGAUGCCGAUGCUGCCCUGGUUGCCGGCGGCGGCGGCAUCGACCGCGACCCCUCCCCGUCGGCGCCAACUUCUUCAAUUCCUUCCUCGAUGGCAUCGAAGGCCAAUUCCUGGCUGCCGGCGGCGGGGGCCCCGCGGUGCCCCUGGCCGGCCUCAACCCUCCCCGUUGGCGCCGAUUUCUUCAAUUCCUUCCACGAUGGCGUCGACGCAGUUGCCCCCAAGAACGGGCUGGUUGAGUGGAUGACCAGACUUUUUUUUUUUUUAUGAAGGUGGAUGACCAGACUGAUUGCUAUUCCCCAAUGCGAGGUUUUGGGUCCAAAAGUGAGCAGUCUGCAGAUGACCAGGACCGAUCCAUCUCCGAGGAAACUACUUUGUUUUUUUAUAUUAUUAUUAUUAUUAUUAUUAUUAUUAUUAUUAUUAUUAUUAUUAUUAUUAUUAUUAUUUUCUCGUGGAUUUAGUCAUUGCUACCAUGGAGCAAGCAUGCCGGCAGUCCACUUAUCCAAGACUCCAAGUCCAAGCCCCACUCGCUUGCUGGAAUAAAGAAAUCUCAGGCUUUUCUUCUACUAAGAGAUAAUGUAGGCAGUCAUUACCGUCGAAAUCAGCGACCUGCUUGAUGCCACCAUGGGGAGUGUGGAAUCUGCUGGUAGUGGUAAUUGAGUGUGAUGCACCGAGACCAUCAGUAUAAAAUCGGUGCCUGUGGGUUAAAUUUCUUGAGAGCUAGCGUAUUUGAGGAUUGGGAAUUGUGGUGGCCAUGAGGAACCCCUGCAUUUGGUGUUGCUUGGUUCUGCUGACCUUGGUGGUCUGCGACAGUUGUUUGCACGAAGAGAGGAAACAUCUUAUGGACAUUUGCGAUGCGUUCCUUUGGCCGGCUGGCAAUCCGCCUGACUGGAGUAGCAGAGAUUGCUGCCGGUGGGAGAGGGUGACCUGCAGCUCCAUCACAGGGCGUGUCACGGCCCUUGAUCUUGAUGCAGCUUAUCCGUCGUGGUAUGGCCUACUCAACUGCAGUAUGUUCCUUCCAUUCCGUGAGCUGCAGAAUUUGUCCUUGGGAAAUGCCGGCAUCGCGGGAUGCAUGCCUGGUGCAGGUUUUGAAGUAUGGUCUAAUUUACGCCAACUGGAAAUCCUCGAUCUAUCUGAAAAUGAGUUGAAUGAUAGUAGUAUCAUGCCCUUGGUUGGACUUGCAUCUCUGCGUUCCCCAUUCCUCGGUGGGAACGCCAUAAAGAAUGACUUUACUGUCCAAAGAUUAAGCAAAAUGAAGCUGGAUAUUCUUGAUCUAAGUUGGAAUGGAAUUUUCGGGAACAUAUCAAGAGUUCAUUUCAUUUACAGCUGUUUGCAAUAUGACAAGUCUUCGAGAAUUGCAUCUAAACGGAAAUUUUUUCUUUGGGGUGCUCCCAUCAUGUAUCAGAAAUCUAACUUUUCUCAGAGUACUUGAUCUGUCAAAUAAUCUCUUAACGGCAAGGUUCCCCACUAUUUCGUUCGCAAACAUGACGUUACUUGAGCAACUUUCCCUUUCCCAUAACCAGCUUGAAGGUCUGCUACUCCUAAACUCUUUUUCAAAUCAUCUCCAACUGAAAUACCUGAGACUAUCAAGCAACAGUGCCAGCUUCCAAGUGCAAACUGAGAAUCCAGAAGCAAAUAUAUCUAGUCAGCUUCAGGUUCUUGAACUAUCAAACUGCAACCUGAAUGCCAAUUCUGGUGUUGUACCAAGUUUCUUAUCACACCAGCACGGAUUAUACCUAAUUGAUGUUUCGAACAAUAAUCUAAGUGGUCAUUUCCCGACGUGGUUACUGGAGAAUAAUAUAUAUCUAUCAUACUUGAGUGUGAAACAUAACUCAUUUGUUGGAUCACUCAUUCUUCCUUCCACAGUAAAUCAGAACUUAUCAUGGUUAGAUGCAUCUUAUAACAGGCUAAGCGGGGACCUUCCUGUGGACAUCAACAUCACAUUCCCUAAUUUGAGCUACCUAAACUUAUCGAAGAAUUUUUUUCAAGGCAUAUUUCCUUCAGCCGUUAGUCACUUGGAGAAUCUUUCAACUUUAGAUUUAUCUUACAACAACAUAUCGGGUGAAAUAACUGCUAGUUUUCCUACAACUAUGUCGAUGAAUCAUCUAGUGCUAAACGAUAAUAAUAUCUCAGGGGAGAUUCCUACUAGCAUUUGCACCAACGUGAAUCUUGGUGUGGUUGAUUUUAGCAAUAACAAGUUGACUGGAUCCAUUCCAAAUUGCAUAGCUUCAAAUCAUCUAUUUUUUAUCCUCAAUCUAAGAGGGAAUCAUUUAACUGGAUCAAUUCCAACAGGUCUAUCCAGCCUUUUGAAUCUUCAAUUUCUUGAUCUGUCCAAAAACCAUCUGUCUGGCCCCUUGCCUUCUUUGCCCAAUUUGACAUAUCUCCACUUAAGUGAGAAUGAACUGAAUGGAACAUUUCCCCUUGUCUGGCCAUUCGGUGCUAAUUUGAAGACAAUGGAUCUGCGAUAUAACCAAUUCAGUGGUGCAAUCCCAAGAUGUAUAGAUGAAACUUUUCCAGAGUUACGAAUACUAUUGCUUAAGGGAAACAUGUUCGAAGGGAUGGUUCCAAACCAAGUGUGUCUACUUACCUAGCCCUGUCUUUUCACAUGGACAACUUUAUGUCGCACUCUCACGUGUAACAUCGCCUGAUGGUCUUCGUAUUCUAAUUGAGAAUAGUCCAACUGAGCAUGUGACCAGCACUCACAAUGUUGUUUACAAAGAAAUAUUUAACGAUCUGGAUCAACAAGGAAUGCAUACAUGAUUACAGGAUUCUUUAUCUGAAACCUCUGCCUUGUCAAAGCAGCACGCAGUUGGUAUUAUUACAAUAGUUCAGUUCUUUCCUGUCUAUUUUAUGUGAUCUUCACACUCAACUUUCCUCUAAUAUAUGCCUUCUGGUAUCCAUGGUUUCUUCCUGCCAUCAUACGAAGAACCAAGCAUCCAGCCAUCUCAAUGAUCAUUAUAAAUUUCAUUUUUCCAUCAGCAGGUGUUCUGCUAGAAAAUAUAUCAAUGCACCUCUAUGCCCUAUUAUGUACCUUUUGGCUUGCAAGAGUGUUCUACGAGAUAAAUUAUUUGUCUCACUCACUUGUAUGCCUGCCAUGUAAAUAAUAUAACUAUUUUAAUUGCCAACUGACUACCGUCAUCAGUUCUUUUUGUCCGAUGAAAUAACAUAUCUUACAUAUAUUAUAUGCUUUAGUAAGUAAACUUCCAGUAAUAUUUUUGUUGUCAUGUGAAAUAUUAAAAAUAUAUGUAUUCACAUUUAUAUUAA